rnacentral:tRNA from 1 species
GGCGGGGUAGCUCAGCUGGUUAGAGCGGCGGAAUCAUAAUCCGUAGGUCGGUGGUUCGAGUCCACUCCUCGCUACCA